rnacentral:rRNA from 1 species
CCUACGGGAGGCAGCAGUGGGGAAUAUUGGGCAAUGGAGGAAACUCUGACCCAGCGACGCCGCGUGCGGGAUGAAGGCCUUCGGGUUGUAAACCGCUUUCAGUAGGGAAGAAGCGAAAGUGACGGUACCUACAGAAGAAGCACCGGCUAACUAUGUGCCAGCAGCCGCGGUAAUACAUAGGGUGCAAGCGUUGUCCGGAAUUAUUGGGCGUAAAGAGCUCGUAGGUGGUUCGUCACGUCGGAUGUGAAAAUCUGGGGCUCAACCCCAGACCUGCAUUCGAUACGGGCGAUCUAGAGUGUGGUAGGGGAGACUGGAAUUCCUGGUGUAGCGGUGGAAUGCGCAGAUAUCAGGAGGAACACCAAUGGCGAAGGCAGGUCUCUGGGCCAUUACUGACACUGAGGAGCGAAAGCGUGGGGAGCGAACAGGAUUAGAUACCCUGGUAGUCCACGCCGUAAACGGUGGGCACUAGUUGUGGGAACCUUCCACGGUUUCUGCGACGCAGCUAACGCAUUAAGUGCCCCGCCUGGGGAGUACGAUCGCAAGNUUAAAACUCAAUGAAUUGACCGGNGNGAGAGNGCGAGCGACGACGAGGAGAG